ACCAGACUCCUACGGGAGGCAGCAGUGGGGAAUCCUCCGCAAUGGGCGAAAGCCUGACGGAGCAACGCCGCGUGAUCGAAUGAAGGCCUUCGGGUUGUAAAGAUCUGUUGACAGGGACGAAUAAGCCAUGCGAAUAGUUUGGUGUAUGACGGUACCUGUUUAGAAAGCUCCGGCUAACUACGUGCCAGCAGCCGCGGUAAUACGUAGGGAGCGAGCGUUGUCCGGAAUUACUGGGUGUAAAGGGAGCGUAGGCGGGACGGCAAGUCAGAUGUGAAAACUGAGGGCUCAACUUUCAGACUGCAUUUGAAACUGCUGUUCUUGAGUGAAGUAGAGGUAAGCGGAAUUCCUAGUGUAGCGGUGAAAUGCGUAGAUAUUAGGAGGAACACCAGUGGCGAAGGCGGUCUGCUGGACAGCAACUGACGCUGAGGCGCGAAAGCGUGGGGAGCAAACAGGAUUAGAUACCCCAGUA
rnacentral:rRNA from 1 species